GACGAACCGUGCUAACGUUGUUCGGAAUCACUGGGCUUAAAGGGCGCGUAGGCGGUUUGCAAAGUCAAGGGUGAAAUCUUUCGGCUCAACCGGAAAAGGGCCUUUGAUACUGGCAAACUAGAGCGAGGUAGGGGCAGAUGGAACUUCCGGUGGAGCGGUGAAAUGUGUUGAUAUCGGAAGGAACGCCGGUGGCGAAAGCGAUCUGCUGGACCUCUUCUGACGCUGAGGCGCGAAAGCCAGGGGAGCAAACGGG
rnacentral:rRNA from 1 species